rnacentral:rRNA from 1 species
CAAACAGGAUUAGAUACCCUGGUAGUCCACGCCCUAAACGAUGUAUACCGGUUGUUGCUGUGCUAGUCACGGCAGUAAUCCACCUAACGGAUUAAGUAUACCGCCUGGGGAGUACGGUCGCAAGAUUAAAACUCAAAGGAAUAGACGGGGACCCGCACAAGCGGUGGAGCAUGUGGCUUAAUUCGAAGAUACGCGAAGAACCUUACCCGGACUUGAUAUCUAACAAAUCAUCCAGAGAUGGAAGAGUGUCUGCUUGCAGAAAUGUUAAGACAGGUGCUGCACGGCUGUCGUCAGCUCGUGUCGUGAGAUGUUGGGUUAAGUCCCGCAACGAGCGCGACCCACGUCAUUAGUUGCUAACGGUUCGGCCGAGCACUCUAAUGAGACUGCCUUCGUAAGGAGGAGGAAGGUGUGGACGACGUCAAGUCAUCAUGGCCCUUAUGUCCGGGGCGACACACGUGCUACAAUGGCAUAUACAAUAAGACGCAAUAUCGCGAGAUGGAGCAAAUCUAAAAGAUAUGUCCCAGUUCGGAUUGGAGUCUGCAACUCGACUCCAUGAAGCCGGAAUCGCUAGUAAUCGUAGAUCAGCCAUGCUACGGUGAAUACGUUCCCGGGUCUUGUACUCA